AGGGGCGUNGCCAAGCGGNAAGGCAGCAGGUUUUGAUCCUGCCAUGCGUUGGUUCGAAUCCAGCCGCCCCUGCCA
rnacentral:tRNA from 1 species